GACGUAGGUGGCGAACGUUAUCCGGAAUUAUUGGGCGUAAAGGGUGCGUAGGCGGCAUAAUAAGUUAUUGGUGGGAAAUCGAGGCUCAACCUCGUGGAAACUGAUAAUACUGUUUUGCUUGAGUACAGGAGAGGUUAACGGAACUCCAUGUGGAGCGGUAAAAUGUGUAGAUAUAUGGAAGAACAUCAAUAACGGCGAAGGCAGUUAACUAUUCUGUUACUGACGUUGAGGCACGAAAGCGUGGGGAGCAAAAAGG
rnacentral:rRNA from 1 species